UCUCAGGUGGAUGCGCACAUUGAAUUCCGUGCGCUCACGCGCGCACAAUAGCACUCAAAAAACCAAAAAAAAAAAAAGAAAAGAAAAGCUUCCCUUUGUCUUCUCUUUUCUGAUUUCCCCCGUAAGACCAGAAACGCACAAUUUUCAUCUCCAUUUCUCCAAAUUCCAGUUCUGCCCCCAAUCAUUCCCCAUAAUUCCGCGUCAACAUCCAGAAAAUGGCUCCAGCCACCACCGUGGCGGCUGCUCGGCGUCUCGUAGGCUCGCGGCGCCGAACCGAGGCACCGCCACGACGUCCGUCCCCGUCGCCGCCACAGAGGAAGCUAAGGCCGGUGGCAGAGAUAAUGGCUCGUGCCAGAUAUGCGGUGGUGGAGCGAGCUGACUACAGUGACGUCGGCUGCGAACAAUGCGGCUCCGGUGAACGUCCCGACGAGCUUCUCCUAUGUGAUAAAUGCGAUAAAGGCUUCCACAUGAAAUGCCUUAGACCGAUCAUGGCUCGUGUUCCUAUUGGAUCCUGGCUUUGCCCCAAAUGCUCUGGUCAUAGGCGAGUAAGAAGUUUUUCGCAGAAAAAGAUAAUUGAUUUCUUUAGGAUUCAGAAGAGUUGUGAUGGAAAAAAGAAAUUCACGUCGAAUCAAGAUACCAGAAAGCGUCGCAGACGUUCUAGAUCAUUGGUGUUGCUAAAGAAAAGAAGGAGACUCUUGCCAUUUAUACCAUCUGAAGAUCCUAACCAACGUUUGAAUCAGAUGGGUACCCUUGCUUCAGCACUAACAGCUUUGCAGAUGGAAUUCAGUGAUGAUCUCACCUACUCUCCUGGCAUGGCCCCUAGAUCUGCCAAUCAGGCCAAGUUUGAAAAUGGUGGCAUGCAGGUUCUUUCGAAGGAAGAUAUGGAGACCUUGGAACUCUGCAGAGCAAUGAAUAGGCGAGGCGAAUGCCCUCCUCUUAUAGUAGUUUUUGAUUCAUGUGAAGGGUACCUCCAUUUUGAAAUAAUUUGUACUGUUGCAGUUAUAUUAUGUAGCUGUAUAUUUAGUGUAUUCAUUUUAAUUAUGUCGUGCAGUUAUACGGUAGAAGCAGAUGGACAGAUAAAGGAUAUGACAUUCAUUGCAGAAUACACAGGGGAUGUGGAUUACAUUAAAAACCGGGAAAAUGACGAUUGUGAUAGCUUGAUGACCCUUCUUUUAGCAACAGACUCAUCUAAAAGUCUUGUAAUCUGCCCUGAUAAACGUGGAAACAUUGCUCGCUUUAUCAAUGGCAUUAACAAUCAUACUCUGGAAGGCAAGAAGAAGCAGAAUUGUAAAUGUGUGAGGUACAGUGUAAAUGGUGAAUGCCGGGUCCUUUUGGUUGCCACUCGUGAUAUUGCUAAGGGAGAGAGGCUUUAUUAUGAUUAUAAUGGAUAUGAGCAUGAAUACCCUACUCAUCAUUUUGUCUGAAUAAUGGAACCGACGUUACUAACAAUCCUACAGAGCUGGGAUGCAAUUUUGGAUCCUCAUAGAUCAUCUUCUUUCAGUCAUUUUUAUUUUUUAUUUCACAGCUUACUCAUUGCUGGUGCAGAGUCAAAGAAAUUUCUUCAAAUUUGCACAUGCCAUUUUAUUAUAAUUUAUGAUGCAACGCUGGUCCCUUUUGCAGCCAUUAGCGAAAGACAGCAGGGAAGAAAAAUUUUUCCUUGGAAUUUAGAUGUUGUAGAAAUUUAUUUAAGAAACAAUAUCUUCUUGUAAUACAGGUCUCAAUUAAGGUCUAUUUAAUUUUAUCCAAUUACUGUCAUUCUACAGCUUUAAAACAGAAUUACUCGGUGGACUGCUAGAGAGCAUUUUUCUCUAGUAAUUCAUCUUUCUCUAUAGCUUUAAAUGUCUUUGCAAUUAACAAAGUUGACAUUUACGUUGGUCUUUGCGAUGUAUUCCCACCUUAAAAGAUGAGAGUGAAAACACUAGAGUAGUAGCUUAGCAGCAGCCAGCAGCAUUUGCAAUGAUAACAGGUGUGUGGCAUUAGGAUAUUCUUCUUCCUUAACGAUUCGUAGCUCUCUUUCAGAUCAAUGCUAAGAACGAAGGUGAAACAGAAAGCAUUUGCUUUUCUCCUGCAGCUCUUGUGAGUCCGUCAGUUGAACGAACGACCUAGUUCAGACAACAUCUAUACAUCCGGAUGAAGCAGUGGCCUUUUCCUUCAAUUCUUUCAUUCCCUGAACCUUCCAGUCUUUGGAAGGAGAGUUUGAUUUCUGCGACUCAAUCCGCAUUCGGCAUUCCUUGUGUCAGAAAAGAAGCACGGCUUUCCUCCAUGAUCAUGUCUCUGAAUUGGGAUGAAUACAUGCCAAAUCCUAACAACAGGCUAGAAAGCGCGCUGGUGAAGCCAAUAGUAAGCCGGUCGUCGAUCCUCUGCUCUUCGACUCUGCUGAACCAUUAACGGAACCUGUUGAUUAGAUAAAUAGCUAAUUUCAAGGAACAUUUAUAACUGCUGGUUCAGGUAUGAUGUCGGAUUAUAUUUAACUUCAAUUUCAUAAAUUCUCACUCUGUAUAUCUCAAGAUUUAAUCCAAAACUUUUAAAAAAUAGAGUCUCAAAUUAUAAACUUCAA